AUUAAAUGAGAGUUUGAUCCUGGCUCAGGACGAACGCUGGCGGCGUGCCUAAUACAUGCAA
rnacentral:rRNA from 1 species